GUUAUAAUAGCAGAGAGGAUACACCUGUUCCCAUUCCGAACACAGAAGUUAAGCUCUCUAGCGCUGAUGGUACUUG
rnacentral:rRNA from 1 species